CCGAAUGUUACUAAACAUAAACCCUUGUGAACCUUCUGCGUUGCUGCCUCGGCAGGUAAUCCCAGGGCGGGAUUCUGGGCCUCUUCAGAGGCACCUGCCAGCGGCAGACAAUUUUCAGACUCUGAAUUUACAGUACUUCUGAGUGUAUUUAAAAAAAAAUAAAUUA
rnacentral:misc_RNA from 1 species